AUCACCUGGGAGCUUGUUAACACACAGACUGAGGCCGCAUUUCUGGCCCAAACCUGAGGUUUUGCAUUUCUAACAAGUUCCCAGGUGAUGCC
rnacentral:miRNA from 1 species